rnacentral:rRNA from 1 species
AUUCGAUUAGAGUUUGAUCCUGGCUCAGAUUGAACGCUGGCGGCAGGCUUAACACAUGCAAGUCGAGCGGUAGCACAGGGGAGCUUGCUCCCCGGGUGACGAGCGGCGGACGGGUGAGUAAUGUCUGGGAAACUGCCUGAUGGAGGGGGAUAACUACUGGAAACGGUAGCUAAUACCACAUAACGUCGCAAGACCAAAGAGGGGGACCUUCGGGCCUCUUGCCAUCAGAUGUGCCCAGAUGGGAUUAGCUAGUAGGUGGGGUAAUGGCUCACCUAGGCGACGUUCCCUAGCUGGUCUGAGAGGAUGACCAGCCACACUGGAACUGAGACACGGUCCAGACUCCUACGGGAGGCAGCAGUGGGGAAUAUUGCACAAUGGGCGCAAGCCUGAUGCAGCCAUGCCGUGUGUGUGAAGAAGGCCUUCGGGUUGUAAAGCACUUUCAGCGAGGAGGAAGGUGGUGAACUUAAUACGUUCAUCAAUUGACGUUACUCGCAGAAGAAGCACCGGCUAACUCCGUGCCAGCAGCCGCGGUAAUACGGAGGGUGCAAGCGUUAAUCGGAAUUACUGGGCGUAAAGCGCACGCAGGCGGUUUGUUAAGUCAGAUGUGAAAUCCCCGGGCUCAACCUGGGAACUGCAUUUGAAACUGGCAAGCUAGAGUCUCGUAGAGGGGGGUAGAAUUCCAGGUGUAGCGGUGAAAUGCGUAGAGAUCUGGAGGAAUACCGGUGGCGAAGGCGGCCCCCUGGACGAAGACUGACGCUCAGGUGCGAAAGCGUGNGGAGCAAACAGGAUUAGAUACCCUGGUAGUCCACGCCGUA